rnacentral:misc_RNA from 1 species
UUUUGCACGUUUUGUCUCCCCCAUAUGCAAUUUUCACCGAGGCUAUCAUCUCACCUUUAUUAAGACACAACCGUCAUCCAGUAUGGCGUUACAAUAUUUUUUGGAAAACGUUAAUCACCCAGAGAAAAGCAUUCUGUUAAACGAAGACACGAUAAAAAUUGGACGAAGUCAAGAUUUACCGGUAUGCCUGUUAUCUGUGUGGAUUUCUAAACAUCAUGCUACUAUUAAAAGAAAUGAAGAAAAUUGGACAAUUAUAGAUGAGAAUAGUUUAAAUGGUGUUUUCGUAAACAAGAAAAGAAUUCAGGUAUUUGAGCAACAUGUGAUUAAAACUGGAGAUCUCAUUCAGAUUGGAAAUUCUAAAGACGAACCUUUCUGUUAUAAGCUUCAAGCAACACUAGUGAAACAUAAACCUCACAAAAGUGACUUUUUGGCCGUAAAAAGACAUAAACCUGAAAUGCCUGUGAUAAACAACUCUCCCAAAAAUCAUCUGAAAUUCCUCAAUAAACCUGUUGAUAAAAAAGUGCCUUCUUCACCAUUGUUAGUUACUUGUUCAGAAAGUAACAGCAGUGAUAAUGAUAAUAAGAAUAUUAAUGAUAAUGAAAUCCCCUGUUCUUUGGAAGCGAUGGGUUCACCAAUGUCAGAAAAUGGUGCUACUUCUGAUUAUGAGAUCAAGUUAAAAGAACUCGAAGAGCGUUUGCAAAUGAAAGAAGCAGCUUUGAAAUUGGAGAAAGAAAAAUCUGACUCUCAGGCAAAAGCCAUUGCAAAAUUGGAAGCAAAACGGAAACAGGUUGAAUUUGAACUUCAAAAAACACAGAAAUUAAAAGAAGAAGAAAAAAAGCAACUGGAACAAGAAUUUCAGGACAAAAUGGUGAUGUUGUUAAGGAAAAAAGAGAAAUCUUUGAAGCAAGAUUUGAAGAUCAAAAGAGUUGCCCUGGAGCAAAAGGAGAAAACUGAGAAAGAACUUCUUAAUAAGUGCAAUUCUGACAAGGCCACUAUUGACGAAUUAAUUAAGUCUAAGGAAGAAUUGAAACUGAUAAUUGAUAAUAAAGAUGCUGAACGAUGCUUACUGGAGAGUCAGUUGCAGGAAGCAAAAUUGGAUAAUUUGAAAGAGAAAGAUGUUGUAUUGAAAACUCGUGAAGAGGUCUUGACUAAAUUUUCUGAGAUGUUAGAAAUGGAGCUACAGUGUAGCAUUUGUAAUGAACUGUUUGUGCAGGCCACUACACUGAAUUGCUCACAUACAUUUUGUUUCUAUUGUAUACAUAUGUGGAUGAAUAAGAAGAAUGACUGUCCAGUUUGUCGUACUUCUAUUAAGUCCCAGGCAAAAGCCCUUGUGGUAGACUCUUAUAUUGAUAAAAUGACUGCUUUCUUCAGUCCAGAAAUGAAAGAAAAGAGAGCUCAAUAUGUUAAGGAAAGAAAAGUUACGUCAUGAUUCAUACAAAGUAAACUAUUUGGUCCACAAAUCAGCAGACCUUCCUAACUAAACCGUGUCUUCCUUCAAAUAACAUUGAUAUUGGUUCUAGUUACAUCUUCUCCAUUUACUGCUCUCAAAGUACCGCAACCAAAGACAAAGAAAAGGAGACACGCUGAACACCAAGAACAUGUAUUUCAUCAUGAAACAAUACAAGGUGAA